rnacentral:rRNA from 1 species
GACGAACGCUGGCGGCGUGCUUAACACAUGCAAGUCGAACGAUGAAGCACUAGCUUGCUGGUGUGGAUUAGUGGCGAACGGGUGAGUAACACGUGAGUAACCUGCCCCUCACUCUGGGAUAAGCCUGGGAAACUGGGUCUAAUACUGGAUACGACCGAUCUCCGCAUGGAGUGUUGGUGGAAAGUUUUUGUGGUGGGGGAUGGACUCGCGGCCUAUCAGCUUGUUGGUGGGGUAAUGGCCUACCAAGGCGACGACGGGUAGCCGGCCUGAGAGGGCGACCGGCCACACUGGGACUGAGAAACGGCCCAGACUCCUACGGGAGGCAGCAGUGGGGAAUAUUGCACAAUGGGCGAAAGCCUGAUGCAGCGACGCCGCGUGAGGGAUGACGGCCUUCGGGUUGUAAACCUCUUUCACCAGGGACGAAGCUAACGUGACGGUACCUGGAGAAGAAGCACCGGCUAACUACGUG